rnacentral:rRNA from 1 species
GAGCGAGCUUGCCUAGAUGAUUUUAGUGCUUGCACUAAAUGAAACUAGAUACAAGCGAGCGGCGGACGGGUGAGUAACACGUGGGUAACCUGCCCAAGAGACUGGGAUAACACCUGGAAACAGAUGCUAAUACCGGAUAACAACACUAGACGCAUGUCUAGAGUUUGAAAGAUGGUUCUGCUAUCACUCUUGGAUGGACCUGCGGUGCAUUAGCUAGUUGGUAAGGUAACGGCUUACCAAGGCAAUGAUGCAUAGCCGAGUUGAGAGACUGAUCGGCCACAUUGGGACUGAGACACGGCCCAAACUCCUACGGGAGGCAGCAGUAGGGAAUCUUCCACAAUGGACGAAAGUCUGAUGGAGCAACGCCGCGUGAGUGAAGAAGGGUUUCGGCUCGUAAAGCUCUGUUGGUAGUGAAGAAAGAUAGAGGUAGUAACUGGCCUUUAUUUGACGAUAAUAACUUUUUUAGUCACGGCUAACUGCGUGCCAACAGCCGCGGUAAUACGUAGGUGGCAAGCGUUGUCCGGAUUUAUUGGGCGUAAAGCGAGUGCAGGCGGUUCAAUAAGUCUGAUGUGAAAGCCUUCGGCUCAACCGGAGAAUUGCAUCAGAAACUGUUGAACUUGAGUGCAGAAGAGGAGAGUGGAACUCCAUGUGUAGCGGUGGAAUGCGUAGA